CGAAGAGGAAGAUGUUCAUAGACACGCUCUAUCUGCAACAGACGUUGAACCGCCAGAUGAUGUGAAUAUUCUUGUAAAAGAAAGCAUCGAUCAGAUGAUCGAGUGGUUGAAGGAAGCACCUGUUGCUGUUGGAGAUCGUGAACCACAGCCGAGGAUCAUCCCUAUCCUAUGGAAUUCACACAAUCCAAAGGAAGAAGAAGACUUAGCAGUCCGUCUUGCACAAGAAGUGUACCAACAUCCCUCCUUGGUGGCCUCAUUUGAUUGCAAGGCCUGGAUACGCGUCGGAAGGAGCUGUGAUCUACACCAUAUAUUGCAGGAAAUACUUGUAAAAGUAGAAUCCCUUCCAAUUCCAGAUGUAGAAGAAAACACGCUGAGGACCGAUACAGAUCAAAGUUCGGAAACAACAGUGGGUGAUGAGGCCAUGGAACUCGCCAAGAAACCUCUGGACUAUCUGAAAGGUAAACGUAUCUUGAUUGUUCUUGACAAUGUGCCAGAGAGACUACCAUGGGAUAACAUACGAUCUGCUUUAUCUCAUAGUAGCUAUGAUUGCUCUCCCGGUAGCGCUAUAGUCAUCACGACAUGGUCAGAUGAUGUAGCAAAUUCAUCGUCUCCGUACAAGAUAUUGAAACCACAAAGUUGUUUUUUUGUUUUCUACGAUAAAGCAAGGGAGCUUACUGGUGGAUCUGAUAACAACACUAUGGAGAAUGUAGGGCGUAUCUUAGGAGCAUGUUACCCUGAGGUCUUCGCAAUGGAAAUCUUCCUACAUCUUCUGCAUGUCAAUCCGAACAGGAGUAGGACACAGCUAGGCAACUUUGUGAAAAAAUUAUCAGAUUGUGGGUCAUACAAGAGAGCUGCAAAGCAAAUGGUAAGAUUCUCGUACAAUGACUUGCCAACCAAGUACAGGAGCUGCUUGUUGUACCUAGCUAUCUCUCCAGAGAAUAACCGCAUUAGGAGAACAACUGUAUCUAGAAGAUGGAUAGCUGAAGGCCUCAUAGCUACAAGAGAGAAUCGCCCGGAAGAUGAAGCUGAUCGCUGUUUUGAUGCCCUCGUCUCCUGGGGACUUAUUAAUCCUGGUGAAAUCAGUGAUGCAGGCAAGAUCAAGAGCUACACAAUGCAUCAUGUGGUUCGUGAAGUCAUAGCCAGGAUUGCUAAAGAUCUAAACUUUGCCAAUUCAGACCUGUCGCCUGAUUUGGCUCGCCACCUUCCUGUUCACCAUGGAAUAGGACUGCAAGCUUCUCAUUACAGUUAUCCUGUGGCAUCUGGUGGCAAUGGCAUCGUAGCACUUCUUCCAUAUCUGUCCAAGUCAUCCCAGUGGCAGCUAUUGAGAAUGUUGGACCUAGAAGGCUGCAAAGGCUUGAAGAAGCAUCAUUGGAAGAGCAUCUGUAAGAUAUUGUUGCUCAAGUACUUGAGCCUCAGGAACACAGAUGUCAGUCAACUGCCGAAGAAAAUCGAGAACUUGCAGUGCUUGGAGACUCUGGAUAUCCGGCAAACAGUGGUGAGGGCAUUCUCCACAAAGUCAGUCAUCCUUCCAAUGCUGAAGCAUCUGCUUGCUGGCCAGACAGAUUCUCCAAGCAACAACACUGAUAGGUUUAAGGAGUCGUUUACAACAGUGCGCCUUCCUAGUGGCAUCCGAAGAAUGGUAAAAUUGGAGGUGUUGUCCCAUGUUGAAGUUUCCGACAAUGUUGAUGGUUUAGUUGACAUUGGCCAGCUGCUACAGCUGAGGAAUCUGGGUCUAGUUCUCCAUGGUAACAAUGGUUGCUUGGGUCUUGUACUUCAACAGGUGGAGAAGGUGUGUGCCUGCCUCCGCUCUUUGUCAAUCCGAGUGAACAAACUGGACAGAAGUGAGGGUAGUCAUGAUGGGGAGGAGGUGUUUGAACUAACCUCACCUCCAAAACUUCUUGAGAGCCUAAACAUCAGUGGCAUCACAAGUGGGCUUCCUGUCUGGAUUGCAGAGCUCGAUCAACUUUCCAAGAUAACAUUAAGUGAGACUUAUCUGGGCGAAGCUGCAGUACGCACACUUGGAAGGCUUAGAAUCCUGCGCUGCCUCAAGCUGAAGUGCAAGUCAUUCGCCCA
rnacentral:rRNA from 1 species